AUGCAGUUUUUCAAAAAUCUUAAAUCAUAUGUACUGAAAAAUAUAAAAAUAUAAAUUUGUAUGUAGUAAAAUUACUUUUAUUAUUACUAUUCUUAUAUGCUUAUAAUAGGAUGGUAACAACAGAUAAUGGGUUGUGUAAAAUUUCAGUCUGCAUAUGAGGUCACAAGUAAAAAAGGUUGUGCACCACUGCUGUAUGGUACUAUGUAUACAAUAAGUCCAGAGAAUACUUUAUAAAUUACUAAAAACUAAUUUUUUUAUGUUUAAUGCUAAAAUUCAUUUUCAGAGCAAAAAAAUUUAGUGUGAUAUUUUGUCAUGUUAGAUGUUUGCUUGUACAUUGCAUUACAACUGCUACAGCAAUUGCAAUGUUUCUCCUAUUUGUUCUAAUUGUCUCAUUCUCUUACCUGAUAAUUGUGAGGUUAACAGCAUUCUCUGGAUCCAUAAUUAAAUCUAAACUGCUUUCCUUGUCAAUAUAUCUAAAAUACAAACUCAGCACAAUUUGCAGUUGACAAAUAAACACAUACACUUUAAUGGCUAACGUUUUCAACAGACUUAGCUGCCAUCAUCAGGCUUACACCACUAAUACAAUCAAUACCUAAAAAGAACAAAAGAACGCAUCUGAAUUAC
rnacentral:lncRNA from 1 species